CAAGGCUUGACAUAUACCGGAAACGGCCAGAGAUGGUCGCCCCGCAAGGUCGGUAUACAGGUGGUGCAUGGUUGUCGUCAGCUCGUGUCGUGAGAUGUUGGGUUAAGUCCCGCAACGAGCGCAACCCUCGUUCUAUGUUGCCAGCACGUAAUGGUGGGAACUCAUGGGAUACUGCCGGGGUCAACUCGGAGGAAGGUGGGGAUGACGUCAAAUCAUCAUGCCCCUUAUGUCUUGGGCUUCACGCAUGCUACAAUGGCCGGUACAAAGGGCUGCGAUACCGUAAGGUGGAGCGAAUCCCAAAAAGCCGGUCCCAGUUCGGAUUGAGGUCUGCAACUCGACCUCAUGAAGUCGGAGUCGCUAGUAAUCGCAGAUCAGCAACGCUGCGGUGAAUACGUUCCC
rnacentral:rRNA from 1 species